UACGUAGGUGGCAAGCGUUGUCCGGAAUUAUUGGGCGUAAAGCGCGCGCAGGCGGCCUCCUAAGUCCGAUGUGAAAGCCCACGGCUCAACCGUGGAGGGUCAUUGGAAACUGGGGGACUUGAGUGCAGGAGAGAAGAGUGGAAUUCCACGUGUAGCGGUGAAAUGCGUAGAGAUGUGGAGGAACACCAGUGGCGAAGGCGACUCUUUGGCCUGUAACUGACGCUGAGGCGCGAAAGCGUGGGGAGCAAACGGG
rnacentral:rRNA from 1 species